CAUAGCCACUCGCCAGUGCCACAUAUUAAGAGAAUUUAUAAACAGAAAAAAACGACUGUAGAAUUAAGAAUCUCAUUAUCAAUAUAACAAAAUGUACUCUGGAAUGUUGAUGGGAAAAGCUGUAGAAUAAACCAACCCCCUCAUCAGCACAAACGUAUUUAGAUCUAUCUAGUGAUAAGUAUGCUCAUUUCAGUAUAGGUGAUCUGUAUUAUAAAAUGGACUACAGAGCAACAUUUGUCAAAACAGUUUUGAGUUGUGAUGGCUCAGAACUUGAUGAUUAUAUUAAUUUUGUUUCACUGGUGACAUUAAUAAAUCUCUGACCAUAAAUUAUUUUAGAGCGUGUUACACAACCAACAAGGUAGAAGUCUCUACAUUACUGUAUAGGUUUUCAAAGUAAAUCCCACCAACAUCACAUAUUUUAGAUCUCUUAACUUCAAGAGAGGUAAUGAGGGGUUUUGCAAUUUCCUAAACAAACCACGUGUCAUAAAAUAAAAUAUUGUGUAUGUAGGUACUAAAAAGGCACAGUAUAUGAUUGGUAGGAUUUUGAUUUAAAAAAAAAAAAAAAAAACCCUGUACUUAAAAAGGUUUAAAUGUCAUCAAAAUUAUUUGGUUAUAUCAUGUAGUUAAAUGUCAGAAUAGCAAUGAUUGUGCAGAUAGACUUGAGCAAUUUUUGAAUGCACACAGAUAAUGCCU